AGUGGCGGACGGCUGAGUAACGCGUAGGAAUUUACCCGAGACUGGGGAAUAGCCCGCCGAAAGGCGGGGGUAAUACCGCAUAGUCCUCACUUCGUGUGGGGUAAAGGGCGUAACUGCCCGGUCACGGAUGAGCCUGCGUCCUAUCAGGUAGUUGGUGGGGUAAUAGCCUACCAAGCCAAUGACGGGUAGCUGGCCUGAUGAGGGUGGUCAGCCAAGARGGGGACUGAGACACGGCCCCCACUCCUACGGGAGGCAGCAAUUAGGAAUAGUCGGCAAUGGGCGAAACCUGACCGCGCAACGCCGCGUGUAGGAAGACGCUCGAAAGAGUGUAAACUACUGUGGAGAGGGAAGARAACCGGAGUAAUCGGGUCUGACGGUACCUCUCUAGAAAGGGGCCGCUACUUCGUGCCAGAAGCGUCGGUAAUACGAGGGCCCCAAGCGUUAUCCGGUGUUACUGGGCGUAAAGAGUWGUGUAGGCGGUUGUGUAAGUUAUCUUUUAAAGCUCCCGGCUCAACUGGGAAAAAGGAGAUAAUACUGCAUGACUAGAGUUUUCUUAAGGGAGAAUGGAACUAAAGGAGGAGUAGUGAAAUGCGUUGAUACCUUUAGGAACACCAGUGGCGAAGGCGAUUCUCUGGAAGAAAAYUGACGYUGAGACACGAAAGCUAGGGGAGCGAAGCAGAUUAGAGACCUGCGUAGUCCUAGCCGUAAACGCAUGCUUGCUAGCUGCAUGAGAUUAGCUUUUAGCUAUUAGCUCUUUGCUAUAAGCUGAAAGCUGAUUUCGUGUGGCGAAGGUAACCCGUUAAGCAAGCCGCCUGGGGAUUACGGCCGCAAGGCUAAAACUCAAAGGAAUUGGCGGGGAGGCACACAACCAGUGGAACAUGUGGUUCAAUUCGAAACGAACCGAAGAACCUUACCAAGGCUUGACAUGCAACUGCAAAUCCCGUGAAAGCGGGACUUCUUCGAGAGUGUUGCACAGGUGCUGCAUGGCUGUCGUCAGUUCGUUCCGUGAGGAGUGCCCUUAAGUGGGACAACGAACGUAACCCCUAUCUUGUGUUACAAGUGUCACAAGAAACUGCCCUGCCAGUUGGCGGGGAGGAAGGAAGGGCAGAUGUCAAGUCCGCAUGGCCCUUACGCCUUGGGCUACACACAUGUUACAAUGGACAAGAACAGCGAGCUAUGCAAGCUGGUAACAGCAAGCCAAUCUCUGAAAUUUGUCCUCAGUGGGAUUGAGGUCUGCAAUUCGACCUCAUGAACAUGGAAUUGGUAGUAAUCGCGGGUCAGCUAUACCGCGGUGAAUACAGU
rnacentral:rRNA from 1 species